rnacentral:rRNA from 1 species
AUUGAACGCUGGCGGCAGGCCUAACACAUGCAAGUCGAACGAGUGGCGGACGGGUGAGUAAUGUCUGGGAAACUGCCCGAUGGAGGGGGAUAACUACUGGAAACAGUAGCUAAUACCGCAUACCAUCGGAUGUGCCCAGAUGGGAUUAGCUAGUAGGUGGGGUAACGGCUCACCGAGGCGACGAUCCCUAGCUGGUCUGAGAGGAUGACAAGACACACGGGAACUGAGAAACGUGCAAGACUCCUACGGGAGGCAGCAGGGGGGAAUAUGGCAAAAUGGGCGAAAGCCGGAGGCAGCCAGGCCGCGUGUAUGAAGAAGGCCUUCGGGUUGUAAAGUACUUUCAGCGGGGAGGCGUUACUCGAAGAAGAAGCACCUGCUAACCCCGUGCCAGCAGCCGCGGUAAUAC